rnacentral:snRNA from 1 species
AUGCUUACUGGCAGGGAGAUACCAUGAUCACAAAGGUGGUUUCCCAGGGCGAGGCUUAUCCAUUGCACUCUGUAUGUGCUGACCCCUGCAAUUUCCCCAAAUGUGGGAAACUCGAAUGCAUAAUUUGUGGUAAUGGGGGACUAUGUUUGCUUUCCCCCCAC